rnacentral:lncRNA from 1 species
UUUUUUCCUACUAUUUUGUUCUCUCUAGGACUCAGAAAAAGAAAUGAAGGAAAAUUUGGGUGGAUUUAUUCACCCAAACCAAAUUUCAUACCAGGAUUUCUGGGCUUGUGGAAUAUUUAGAGAAGUUGAGAGCAGUUUGUGCAGCUUUGGACAAGCACUAACCACUGGAAGCUCUACUGUACUGCUUCAUUUUGGCUGGAGCAAUGGGGAUUGCAGGGAUUUCAUCUUGUGAGCCUUUGGGACGGAACAAUUGAUUGAGGAUCUGAAGGACAUCUAGUUCAAGGCCACCCAGAAUUCAGUAGCUGCCUGUUGUUGGUACAGCUCUUAAGAUGUGGCUCUUAUGCUCAAGAAGGUGGGACAUCGGACAUGUGCUAUGUGUACUUCAGCUGUCUGUGUAAGCAGCUUCCUCUAAUCCACACAACAAGCCCUUAAAC